rnacentral:lncRNA from 1 species
AUAGAGGAAGAGAACUAGAGUAUGAGAAAAGAAGAGAAACUAACCAAUGACAACUGUGCUUUGUUAAUGUGGUUUUUCGGUUGAACUUAGUACUGCUAUUUCCAACUUUAAUUAUGGUAGAAGGUUAUUUGAUUGCCAAUCCAUUGGGGUAAUUUCUUAAAUAACCUAAAUUUUUCGCUACCUAGUAGGGUUUGUAAGUUUUCAUCCAAAAUUUCAUGUUUUUCCCCUUUUGCAGAAUGCCGGUGGAUUUUUCGUUGGAUUGAUCUUCCAGUUGAAGCUGGGUUGUUAGCAACAUGCACAAAAAUAGAAAAGAAAGUUAAGAAGAUAAACAGAAGACUCAACAUAUGUAUUGCCCUUUUGGUGUUAACAUGAUUCAUUAUAAUUAUCCUAGAUUAAAUUAUGUAAUGCAAUAAAUGUAAUAGUAGAUUAUAAUAUACAAAAUGUAAUUUUUAUUAUGAGAUUGGUGAAGUUAUCUAGCAAUGAAAUUAUCUAGAUUGGUAGUGUGACUAUUGAAGGUGUCAAUUCACUAUAUUAUGGCCGUAAG